UGGCCAACUUGGUCUGCAGAAUAGUGCCAACGUGAUGAAAGAUGGCGAGUUUGGGCCAAGCUGCCAGCUGUGGUCAAUGCCUUGUAUUAGUGAAUUUUAGCAGCAGUUCUGAGAAGCUGACGAGUGCAGAGGGCUGACGACACAAUUUUAGUAUUAUCACAACGGAGCUUCUGGCUGGAAAAAAAAUAAAUUAAUGGAUGGAUUUUAAAAAGCUUGGAGACUUAAAAAAAAAAAAAAAACAACUUUCAAAUAUCUAUACUUGACGGUGCGAAGAGCCAAGAUGAAUGUAUUUCAAUAGCAACUUCCAAACUAAACUCACAAAUUACUACCAUUAUGCUAAGUGCUAGCUACCCCACUGUGCAGCUUUGCUUUGUGAAUUUUUACCUUCCUCUACGAACACUUUUAGCCACGGAUCGCACAGCCUUUCAAUGUUUUCUGCCUUUUCCUUUAAAUAAACUGGCUGUGGCUCCUUCCAUCUGGUUCCCCUUCCGUCAGCAACCCUGCACCUGUUCACACCUCCUCUCCUGUUGGAUUCCACUGAACAUUUCCUCCUCUGCCAGGGCUAUUCUGGCACUGGCAACCUUUCUGUCAUUCAAUCCAUCUGUCAGAAGUGAACUUUGUUUACCGCAAGCUUCUGCUUUCUUCUUCAAGAAGCGAAGCCCCUCAAGGUCAUUGUCAAGUGAACUGUCGGCAGGGACUGAA
rnacentral:lncRNA from 1 species